rnacentral:rRNA from 1 species
AGAGUGAACGCUGGCGGCAGGCCUAACACAUGCAAGUCGAACGGCAGCACAGCAGAGCUUGCUCUGUGGGUGGCGAGUGGCGGACGGGUGAGGAAUACGUCGGAAUCUGCCUUUUUGUGGGGGAUAACGUAGGGAAACUUACGCUAAUACCGCAUACGACCUACGGGUGAAAGCGGAGGACCUUCGGGCUUCGCGCAGAAAGAUGAGCCGACGUCGGAUUAGCUAGUUGGAGGGUAAUGGCCACCAAGGCGACGAUCCGUAGCUGGUCUGAGAGGAUGAUCAGCCACACUGGGACUGAGACACGGCCCAGACUCCUACGGGAGGCAGCAGUGGGGAAUUUGGACAAUGGGGAAACCCUGAUCCAGCCAUCCGCGUGUGCGAUGAAGGCCUCGGUUGUAAGCACUUUGGCAGGAAGAAACGGCGUGCCCUAAGUACGGACGUCGACUGACGGUACCUGCGAGAUAAGCACCGCUAACUACGUGCCAGCACGCCGA